GUGCUACAAUGGCGACUACAGUGGGUCGCAAACUCGCAAGGGGUGAGCUAAUCUCCAAAAGUCGUCUCAGUUCGGAUUGUUCUCUGCAACUCGAGAGCAUGAAGGCGGAAUCGCUAGUAAUCGCGGAUCAGCACGCCGCGGUGAAUACGUUCCCAGGCCUUGUACACACCGCCCGUCACACCAUGGGAGUUUGGUUUCACCCGAAGGCAGUGCGCUAACCCAGCAAUGGGAGGCAGCUGACCACGGUGGGAUCAGCGACUGGGGUGAAGUCGUAACAAGGUAGCCGUAGGGGAACCUGCGGCUGGAUCACCUCCUUUCUAAGG
rnacentral:rRNA from 1 species